AACUUUAUAUUCAAUAAUGAUAUUAAAUUGCAAAUUUAAAGGAGUAAUUUUAAUUACUAAAGUUU
rnacentral:tRNA from 1 species